rnacentral:rRNA from 1 species
ACGAACGUUGGCGGGGUGCCUAAUACAUGCAAGUCGAGCGAGAAAGCCGGGGCAACUCGGCGAGUACAGCGGCGGAAGGGUGCGUACUACAUGGAUAACGUACCCUCCAGUUGGGGAUAACCCUCCGAAAGGUGGGCUAAUACCGAAUAAUGGCAGCGGGCGGCAUCGUUUGCUGCUUAAAGACGCAAGUCGCUGGAGGAGCGGUCCAUGGCCUAUCAGCUAGUUGGCGGGGUAACGGCCCACCAAGGCGAGGACGGGUAGCCGGACUGAGAGGUUGAACGGCCACACUGGGACUGAGACACGGCUCAGACAUCUACGGAUGGCAGCAGUAGGGAAUCUUGCGCAAUGGGCGAAAGCCUGACGCAGCGACACCGCGUGGGGGAUGAAGGCCUUCGGGUUGUAAACCCCUUUCAUGAGGGAAGAACGCUGACCUCACCUCAGGAAGAAGCACCGGCUAACUCCGU